rnacentral:rRNA from 1 species
AUUGAACGCUGGCGGCAGGCCUAACACAUGCAAGUCGAGCUGAUGAAGGGAGCUUGCUCCUGGAUUCAGCGGCGGACGGUUGAGUAAUGCCUAGGAAUCUUCCUUGUAGUGGUGGAUAACGUCCGUAAACGGGCGCUAAUACCGCAUACGUCCUGAGGGAGAAAGUUGGUGAUCUUCGGACCUCACGCUAUCAGAUGAGCCUAGGUCGGAUUAGCUAGUUGGUGGGGUAACGGCCUACCAAGGCGACGAUCCGUAACUGGGCUGAGAGGAUGAUAAGUCACACUGGAACUGAGAAACGGUACAGACGCCUACGGGAGGAAGAAGUGGGGAAGAUUGAACAAUGGGAGAAAGCCUGAUACAGACAUGCCGCGAGUGUGAAGAAGGACUAUGGAUUGUAAAGCACUUUAAGUCGGGAGGAAGGGCAGUAAGUUAAUAACUUGCUGUAUUGACGUUACCAAAAGAAUAAGCACCGGCUAACUUCGUG